UUCGCAAUGCCCGAAAGGGUGACGAAGCGACGCCGCGUGGGUGAAGAAGGCCUUCGGGUUGUAAAGCCCUGUCAGGAGUUAUGAAAUGUAGGUGCGAUAAUACCGUGCCUAUUUGACAAAGGCUCCAAAGGAAGCCACGGCUAACUCUGUGCCAGCAGCCGCGGUAAUACAGAGGUGGCAAGCGUUGUUCGGAAUUAUUGGGCGUAAAGAGCACGUAGGUGGAUUUGUAAGUCAGGUGUGAAAGCCUUCUGUUCAACGGAAGAAUUGCAUCUGAAACUACAAACCUUGAGUGUAGGAGGGGAGAAUGGAACUUCUGGUGGAGCGGUGAAAUGCGUAGAUAUCAGAAGGAACGCCGGCGGCGAAAGCGAUUCUCUGGCCUAUUACUGACACUGAGUGUGCGAAAGCUAGGGGAGCAAACGGGAUUAGAUACCCCGGUAGUCCUAGCCGUAAACGAUGGGCACUAAGUAGAGGGGUUUU
rnacentral:rRNA from 1 species